rnacentral:sRNA from 1 species
AGCUGCCAAAAUCAACCCCCUCUUCACCGGACAAGCCCUGCUGGAGAAUGUGCCUGAAAUCCAAGCCCUGGUGCAGACACUGCAGGGACCCUUCCACACGGCAGGAGUUUGACCACUUUCUGGCCACCAAGUUCUCGACAGUGAAGCGAUAUGGAGGCGAAGGGGCUGAAAGCAUGAUGGGCUUUUUCUACGAGCUGCUGAAAAUGUCGGCCUACAGCGGGAUCACUGAUGUCAUUAUUGGGAUGCCCCAUAGAGGGAGGCUGAAUUUAUUGACAGGCCUUCUGCAGUUCCCUCCAGAGGGAAGCUUGUGGGCUGUGCCAUCAUCCAUGUCAAUGGAGACAGCCCAGAGGAAGUGGUCCGUGCCACACGACUGGCUUUUGAAUACCAACGCCAGUUCCGCAAGGAUGUGAUUAUUGAUCUGUUGUGCUACAGGCAGUGGGGCCACAAUGAGCUGGAUGAGCCAUUCUUCACCAACCCCAUCAUGUACAAAAUCAUCAGAGCUCGAAAGAGCAUUCCAGACACAUAUGCAGAGCACCUCAUUGCUGGCGGACUCAUGACGCAGGAGGAGGUGUCUGAAAUAAAAUCCUCCUACUAUGCCAAGUUGAAUGAUCACUUAAAUAACAUGGCCCACUACAGGCCCCCUGCCCUGAACCUGCAGGCCCACUGGCAGGGCCUGGCUCAGCCAGAAGCGCAAAUCACCACCUGGAGUACAGGUGUGCCCCUCGACCUCCUGCGGUUUGUUGGCAUGAAGUCUGUAGAGGUGCCAAGAGAGC